GGGAAGAUGGCUCAGUGGUAGAGUGCUUGCCUUACACACAAGAGGCUUGGGUUUGAUUCCUCUGCACC
rnacentral:tRNA from 1 species